rnacentral:rRNA from 1 species
UACGUAGGGCGCAAGCGUUAUCCGGAAUUAUUGGGCGUAAAGAGCUCGUAGGCGGUUUGUCGCGUCUGCCGUGAAAGUCCGGGGCUCAACUCCGGAUCUGCGGUGGGUACGGGCAGACUAGAGUGAUGUAGGGGAGACUGGAAUUCCUGGUGUAGCGGUGAAAUGCGCAGAUAUCAGGAGGAACACCGGUGGCGAAGGCGGUUCUCUGGGCAUUACCUGACGCUGAGGAGCGAAAAUGUGGGGAGCGAACAGG